rnacentral:lncRNA from 1 species
UGAAGAUUUAGCAGUUUCAUAUAAUACUUCAUUACUAUCUUUAUGAGUUCAAGUUUGUUUCAUGCAUGUAGUCAAGUUCGCAGCUAGUGUGAGAAAAGGGUGAUUCUUUUCCUUUUUUCUUUUUUCUUUUUGUUGUUCAUGCAUGUUUGGUUUCAUUCAUAGUGUAAUGUAAUGGUACGUGAUGUUUUCCUAGUUCAAUGAUGUGUACUCUAGCUUUCGUACUGUUUUGUUUUAAUGGAAGGUGUGUCAGGUCAGUAAAACGUUCAAAUCUUUUGGGAUCUUACUUCCUUUAUCAUAAUUAAGUACUCUAGAUAGAGGUGGAAGCAAAAUUUGCAAUUUAUGAGUUUUAGUUUUGCCACACAACCAUAACUAAGUCUUGUAUUCGUAAUUAAAUAUUUAAAUAUAUUUAAUGAAUUUUCUAGUUCAAAUAUAAUGCUUAGUCAAAAUUAACUGAAUUCCACCGAAUAAACAACUUAGAUGUUAUAGCUCCGCCUCUGAGAUUCUCUAGCAAGCUUGGAAUUUAAUGCAAAGAAUGCCAAAGAGUGAAGAGUGUACUGGUGAGCUUCCUAUGUCGUCAACGAGCAAUGAACCGAGAAAUCCAUGUAGAGGAUACUACUAACAUACUAUUAAUUAUAAGUUAAACUACAAGGAUAAGGCAAAAUACCCAUCUAACUUAAGGAGUUCCUUUCUCGUUAAAAUUCACAACUAGUGGCAAAAGCAGAAUUUUUAGUGAAGAAAUUAAAAAAAAAUAAAAUGCAAAGAAGCUAAAAAAUGUAACAUCAAUCUUUUUAGCCUGACCAAGAAAUCUUAUAUCUUCCUAGUCGCACGGCGAUUUAACGGAAAGAACUUCAUGAGCAAAUCAUGCUAAGAUGCUCGCUCGGAAAGGCUGCUCCAAUGAUUUCGUGUCCUCAACUGAUCAGAUGUUUCCCCAUUUAUAGGUGUCCUAGAGAUAUAAAUUUUGCCCAAAUCAUAAUGAGGCUAUUAUGAGUAAUUAACGACAUUGAAUGAUACGUUACAUAAUCAUUACAUUUAAUACGAAUUCACUAACGUAUUUCAUAUUUAAUGUCUGUUACAUACCGUAUCUGUGCUCUUUUCAUUGUCAGAUUCAUUCUUUUGGGCUCUAGGAUAUAAACGACUUCAACAGGUACGGGCGCUGAGAUAUUUGAAUAUCUACCCGCGCCUCCUCUUUUGUCAUUAGCUCGUUUAUGUUGUAUUUCGUCCUUGUUGUAGCUCGUGCCUCUUAUCUAGCUGUCAUUCUUUGACCACUUAAUCAGUCUACGUGUCUUGAUAUGUUUCCUUAAAUACAGUUUUUCCCAAUAAAAAAUAGUCCCCCCACUUUUCAUUUAUUCAUCAAUUGAAUAUUUGGGAAGUGGAUUUCUGUAAAAGAGAUUUUUUGUCACCAUAAAUGCCAUGACAAAACUGACGCUUCAAUUGUCGCCUCCAUUUAAUGCUCCGUACAUGCAUCGUUUUCCCAUUAGUUCUGCAAUUUUGCAGCCCUUUUCAAGGCUUUUCCUACGGCUCCACUAUUCUCGAAGUGCCAGUUAUCAUUAUUAUGGUUCUUCCACUAUCGUCCUUUUUUCUUUUUUCGGUUGUCCAUCAAUAUAAAUAUAACCUCUUUCUUUGUCAUCUAUCACAUAAAACUUAUUGAACACUUCAAUUCUUCAAAUUUCUAUUUACUUCUUCCCUACUUCAAUCUUCUUGACCAUGACUUCACCAAACCCUAACCCUAGGAGAACUCCCAUUUUAGAUCACUUAUCCAAUGCCUCUAUUAGGCAUAGAAGAGGUGAUAGACUCCGUAGCUUAGGGUCUGUUCGUGGUGGUAGCACUUCUAUGCCUUUUCCUAGUUCUGGUCCCUCUUCUAGAACUAGAGGUUCCCUUUCUCAUAGGUCUUCGUCUAGAAACAAAGAACCUUAUGAGCCUCCAUUUAAUGCUCCGUACAUGCAUCGUUUUCCCAUUAGUUCUGCAAUUUUGCAGCCCUUUUCAAGGCUUUUCCUACGGCUCCACUAUUCUCGAAGUGCCAGUUAUCAUUAUUAUGGUUCUUCCACUAUCGUCCUUUUUUCUUUUUUCGGUUGUCCAUCAAUAUAAAUAUAACCUCUUUCUUUGUCAUCUAUCACAUAAAACUUAUUGAACACUUCAAUUCUUCAAAUUUCUAUUUACUUCUUCCCUACUUCAAUCUUCUUGACCAUGACUUCACCAAACCCUAACCCUAGGAGAACUCCCAUUUUAGAUCACUUAUCCAAUGCCUCUAUUAGGCAUAGAAGAGGUGAUAGACUCCGUAGCUUAGGGUCUGUUCGUGGUGGUAGCACUUCUAUGCCUUUUCCUAGUUCUGGUCCCUCUUCUAGAACUAGAGGUUCCCUUUCUCAUAGGUCUUCGUCUAGAAACAAAGAACCUUAUGAGCCUCCAUUUAAUGCUCCGUACAUGCAUCGUUUUCCCAUUAGUUCUGCAAUUUUGCAGCCCUUUUCAAGGCUUUUCCUACGGCUCCACUAUUCUCGAAGUGCCAGUUAUCAUUAUUAUGGUUCUUCCACUAUCGUCCUUUUUUCUUUUUUCGGUUGUCCAUCAAUAUAAAUAUAACCUCUUUCUUUGUCAUCUAUCACAUAAAACUUAUUGAACACUUCAAUUCUUCAAAUUUCUAUUUACUUCUUCCCUACUUCAAUCUUCUUGACCAUGACUUCACCAAACCCUAACCCUAGGAGAACUCCCAUUUUAGAUCACUUAUCCAAUGCCUCUAUUAGGCAUAGAAGAGGUGAUAGACUCCGUAGCUUAGGGUCUGUUCGUGGUGGUAGCACUUCUAUGCCUUUUCCUAGUUCUGGUCCCUCUUCUAGAACUAGAGGUUCCCUUUCUCAUAGGUCUUCGUCUAGAAACAAAGAACCUUAUGAGCCCUUACGCGAGCCUUUAGUUGAAGAGAUAGUUCCAACGGAGCUAUCUUUUUACCAUGAUAAGAAUCUCUUAGAAACCAAGUCGCUACCUUAGAUCGUGCCGAUUCCUUCUCAACUCAAAUUACAGAGAUUCUAGCUCCUAUAGUUCGUAAAAACUGAAUUUUCCCAUAAUCAUUCCCAAUCCAAAUCAGAGGAUCACUUCUUGCAUGAUUGAAUUCUCGUUUGUUUACACAUACCCUUUCACUUUAGGGUUCAAACUAGCCAUCGACCCGAUCAUUCCAGAUUUUUGUCAUAUUUUAAAUGUGUGCUUGGGCCAGAUUGGUCCAAUUGUAUGCAGAGCAGUUAACUGUUUGAGCAUCUUGCCAAUGUGACAAACGUUAACUUUACUUUCCCUCACCUAAUCCACCUCUACUCCCCUGGGCUUUUUCGCAAUGGCGUUUUUACCCUAGCGACCAGGAGCAAGAGGGUUUUAGUGAGCCCUGAAUAUGAUAAGGACCAUGACUGGUAUGCCCUGUUUGUUGCUGCCCCUACUGGUUGCUUACUUGGCGAAGAUAACGUUCCUUUUCCUUGAGAAGUGAAAUUUUGCACGUAAGUUUUAUUUUCUUCUCGUGCAUUUUUCCUUCAAGUUUAUUAAUUUCCCUAAUAUUGUUUUUUGUUUUUUGUUAGCAACCAUGGGAGUUGUAGAAGAUUUACCCAACUUCCGUGGUUGGGUAGAUAAGUUGUUGAAGACUGCUCCAAUGGAGGGUAGGUCCUGGAAAAACCUUUCCAACCAUUACAGUUGGAAAGUAAAGACUCAUGGUAAGAGUUUUUAUUUUACUUUUCACGCAUAUAAAUAUUUUCUUCUAUUGUUCUAAUUUUCAUCCGUCUUUUUAGACCAUUAUGGUUGGAAAAUAAAGACUCAUGGUAAGAGUUUUUAUUUUACCUUUCCCACAUAUAAAUAUUUUCUUUUAUUGUACUAACUUUCAUCCUUCUUUUUAUCAGGAUUUGCUAUUCGAGGAGUCACUGCUGAAACGGUUGUUGCUUCUCGUGACUCUUCAGGUACUCGGACCUCCUUAGCCCUUGAAAUAAUCUUGGGCUCUUCUUCUACAAAAAGGAAAGUUUUUGAAGAAGAAGAUUCCGAAAAAGAAGAUGAGGGAGGAUCCCUGGUGAUGAUACCACGAGCAAAAAGGCGUAUCAUCUCUGAUGACGAAGCUGAGGUCUCACCUUGUCUUUCUGUUGAUACACCAAUUAUUAUUCCUGAUGACGACGCCACUCCUCGUGAUACUCAUGAGUGUAUUAACCAACUUUUUUCAGUGGUUUGAUAGUGGAGAUUUAGGACCCAUUUUAAAUGAACUCCCCUUAUCUUCCUUUUCAAAUCCCGCACCUGCUAUUCUUUCCUUACCUACUACAACUAUUUCCGUUCUUCCCUCUACUGAUGCUACUCCUUCAUCCGCUCCUCUUUUAACAAUUCCACUACCUAUCGUUCACCAUACGGAGGUUUCUUCGAGUAUAAAUGCUGCGAUGAGGAGCGUUACUAUUGAAGUUCUUGCUGAUAGCAGCUUUCUGAGGAAAUCUGGUCAAGCAGACAUUUCGCUUGAGCCUUUAAUUGGCCCAAUAGAGAAGGCAAAACUAGAGAGCCACAGCUGCACGACCUUGAUGAAUGACAUAGUGCAUGCCAUUCUAAAGGUAUUCUUUUUCUUUAUCUUCUUUACUUUGUAAAAAUUUCUGUCUUUGGGAUUUUUAUUUCCCUUCUCUUUUUUAGGCCAAUCUUAUCGGUACAGAGCAAAUGAAUAGAAUCUCCCUCUUGGAGAAGGAAACACGUGAUUCAAAGAAGGUUGCACGUGAUUCACAGUUGAAAGCAAUCAAUUGGAAAGAGAAAUUUGAAAGUGCUCAAAUUGACAUGGGGGAUUUACAAGAGAGCAGGGAUACCUUAGAGCAGAAAGUACGAGCAUUAACUUCGGAGCUAGCAGUUAUCAAGGCUUCCAUGAGCCAAGCAGAAAAGGAGAAAGAACACCUUGAAUCCUCAUUUUCGUAAUAGCGUUCUAAAGCUAGCGAGUAGAACGUUGAAGGCUCUAUUUAACCAAAAAGAAGUUUAUGCUGAAGGGCUCGUACAAAAUUCAACUCAAGCACAAGAAGAUCUGUGAAUUUCUACUGAAAAGGUACGUGCUUUGGAGAGCUAUCAGGCUUCUCUUCAAGCUUCUUAUAAUUCUACCUUGGCUGAGAAUGAAGAGCUUAUGAAUGAGGUUAUCGCCUGGGAGAAGGAUUAUGAGAUCCCUGAAUAAAAAAUUUUGAUGUCGAAGUAAGUUGGACUUUUUUGAAUUCACCUCGUGAUACUUUGAUUGAGGCCGGUCAAGAAGGCUUCGACCUAGAGUCUGAAUUAGCUAAAGUUAAUGAAACCAUUGAACAGACUCAACAACCUCAGGACUUUCCUUCUCCCGCGAUUGAAGCUUCUGUGGUUGUAACUCAUACAUGCAUCACUUCUUCUUCAAGCCCAAUCGAACCUACUGCUGCAAGUCAAGUUGAAAUCGCUCCUGAUGCUGCUCUUACCCAAGUUGAGCCUGUUGCUGCGAAUCAAGAUCAACCUGUAAUCGUUGAUGUAUCUUCUUCAUUUCCUUCAACUUCUUACUGAACAAUUUUCCUUGUCUUGAAUUCCAUUUUUUUUACUUUGGGAAAGUAAUGUAAAGAACCCUUGGCUUCAUUUGAAGGUUGAUUUUGGAACACAAGUCCCUAAGUCCUUUAUAGGGCAAGCUGUAUAUAUAAUCUCUUAGCUUUAUGACUAAGUUUUGUAUUUAGUCUUAAUUAUUUUUAUGUUUACUCUUACCUUUUUCUUCUUAAGGACUUAAAAAAUAAUUUUGUAUUUUUAUCCUAUAAAAAUUCUUCUGUUAAUCUCAUGACGUAAUAACUUAAACAUGAGUUUUAUAAAAGAGGGCCCUUUUAUCUUUCGAGACUUAAUAAAGAAGACGUCUCAACUUCAUAAUGAUGUUAUCAUACGAUGAAAGAGAUAGGAACACAUAUGUUUCUUUGAAAUAAUUUUGAUAAGUUUUGAAUAAUACUUAAUAAGUUUUGAAUAAUACUUUACAUGUAUUUGAAGUACAUCUAUAACUUUCCCGUAACUGUUUUUCUUAUAAUAGAUUUAUGAAAAGAUAAUAAACAUGAGGUUUUUCUUUACAACCCGUUUCUGAACAAUAAACGCAAAGUUUUACUUUAUAACAUGCUUUAGUACAUGGCUUUUACCGUAACUACAGUAAGGUUUUCUUUAACCGUGGCUCGUGACUUCAUGUGAUUUUUACUCUACACUUGACUUUUGCAACCUCGAAACCGUUUGUCUUGUAGCAGAUUUAUGAAACAAUAAUAAACACGAGGUUUUUCUUUGUAACAUGUUUCUGAACAAUAAACGCAACAAUAAAUGCAAAGUUUUACUUUAUAACCUGCUUUAGUACAUGACUUUUAACCUAACUGAUGUAUGGUUUUCUUUAAUCGUGCCUCGUGACUUCAUGUGAUUUUUACUCUGCACUUGACUUUUCUAGGCUUGAUUUCUUCAAUUUUCUUUGCCUCCUUUUUACAUACUUGUAUAUAUUAUGUAGUCCCCCAAGUGUCUGAGUGUUAAAGUAUGAAGCCUCGAGCACUUGAUUGUUCUCAUCAUUAAGUCUUUUUCCUGAAAAGGAAAAAUAUGCGAGACUCGGAGGUGCGAUUAUAGAUGAAGACUGCUUAACCCGUUUGAAUUUCUAUCAAAAUAAUUGUAGCCCUAGGCCAGGAAUUUUGGGUUAUUCCGUGUACCUUACAGGUUGUGACUCAUCACUUAGUACGUGUAAGAUUUUUGUCUAUCAUCUAAAUCGUUAGUAAAAUCUUAACAACUCAAAAAUGUAAUUUAAAAUAACGAUCCCUGACCGUGGGUAUUCAUUAGAAAUAAUAUCUCUUCAAAUGAACAAAAUUCCAAUGCGAAGGAAGUAUCUUGCCAUCCAUUGUCUCUAGUUCAUAUGGUCCCUUUCUUGUUGUAUUCUGAACUCUAUAGGGUACUUCCCAUGUUAGACUUAAUUUACCCGUAUUAGUUGCCUUUGAAGAUUGAAAAACCUUUUUAAGCACGAAGUCCCCAACUUUAAAAAAUCUGAGGCAUGAUUUUCGAUUAUAAUAUCUUUCUAUGAUAUGUUUCUGUGCUGUCAUUCUUAUUAAUGCAACUUCUCUCCUCCCUUCGAGUAAGUCAAGGUUGACUCGCAUUUCUUCGUCAUUAAAUUUAUUGUGUUACUUGUAUGAACCAUGUGCUUGGAUUUCCUAUCCCAAUUGGAAUCAUUUCUUUAGCUCCAUAAACUAAUAAAAAUGAUGUUUCUCCCGUUCUUGUUUUUGCAGUUGUAAGAUACACCCAUAAAACACCAGGCAACACCUCUGGCUAGCUACCUUUUGAUUCUUCUAAUCGCUUCUUUAGAUUGUUGAUAAUAAUCUUGUUCGUUGAUUUUGCUUGCCCAUUUCCAUUGGGUGGUAAGGUGUUGAUGUAAUCCUUUUAAUUUUCCAACUUUGAAAAAAUGCAGUGAUUCGAGCUCCUAUAAAUUGAGGACCUUUAUCACACACAAUCUCCUUUGGUACACCGAAUCGGCAUAUGAUAUUUCCAAAUAAAAUCCUUGACUUCUUUUUCUCACACCUAUUUAAAUGCACCUACUUCUACCCAUUUAGUAAAGUAAUCAGUAAGUACGAGCAAAAAUUUUACCUGUUCUUUCGCUUGUGGUAAUUGACCAACGAUAUCCAUUCCCCAUUUCAUAAAUUGCCAUGGUGCGAUUACUGGAUGUCGUAGUUCCGCCGGUCUAUGCAUAUUGUUACCGUACUUUUUGCAUUUAUCGCAUUUAGCCACGAAACAUUUUGCUUCUUUUUUCAUUUUUGGCCAGUAAUAGCCUGCUCUAAUAAGGAUUUUUACCAAUGACCUUCCUCCUGCGUGAUUUCCACAAUGCCCCUCAUGAACCUCUCUCAUUUCAUACUUUGUUUGAGAAGGUCCGAGGUAUCUUGCUAGAGGUCUUCCAAACAUUUUGAGAUAUAAAUUGCCUUGCUUUAAGCAAUAACGAGCAUCCCAUUUUUGAAGCGUGUGAGCUUUAUUAUUAGCUUCGGGCAUGGUACCAUACUGCAAAAGAAGCAACAAUUUCUUUUCUCCAAUCCCAAGUUAAAUUGUUAAAAUUUACCUCAUUUUUAUCAGGGUUCUUAACUUAAUGAAAUAAAUGUAUAACCAAGGCAUUUAAAUCACUUGCCGUGUUAGCCGCUGAUGUGAGGUUAGCUAAAGAAUCUUUUCUAGGUAUUGUUGCAUGCUUGUUUCCCAGGCUGUAUAAGUCCCCAACAUUUGAUUAACCACGAGUUGUGAAUGACUCUUGAUUAUAAUCUGAUUUACGCAAAGCUCUCAGCCAAUUCUAGACCUACAAUAACAGCCUCAUACUCUGUUUCAUUGUUAGUCAUGAAAUUACAUUUAAUGGCUUGUCAAAUGGUUUCACCCAUAGGUGGUACCAAGACAAUCCCUAAACCUGCACCUUUUACGUUAGACGAUAAAGUCUAAGUUCCUGGGUUAGCUCCAUUGAACACUUGUAAUUCUUUUUCUGCUUCUAAUUGCAUAUCUUUACUAAAAUCAGUCCUAGGUUUAUAGGUGAUUUCGUAUUCACUUAACUCAAUAGCCCACUUAGCCAAUCUUCCUGAUAACUCAUGCUUAUGCAAUAUAUUUCGUAAAUGGUAAGUAGUUAUUAUAACAAUAGGAUGACACUGAAAAUAAGCUCUUAAUUUCCUAGAUGCCAUGAUUAAUGCAAGUGCAAGUUUUUCUAACUGAGGAUACCAUGUCUCUGCAUCCAAUAAAUAAUUACUAACAUAAUAAAUUGUGGGAUUAUUUACCUUGCUCCUCCCAGACCAAUACAACGCUUACCGCUACUUCCGAAACGACAAGCUAAAUAAGUAGCAUUUCCCCUGCUUUUAGUUUUGCCGGUAAGGGUGGAUUUGACAAGUAAUUUUUCAAGUUCCUGAGUGCCUGUUGACAUUCUUCAUUCCAUUCAAAAUGAUCCUGCUUUUUAAGGGCUGAGAAAAAUUUAAAGCAUUUCUCCGAUGACUUGGAGAGGAAUCUCCCUAAAGCUGCAAUCCUCCAUGUUAACCUUUGAACUUCUUUCUUAUUUGAAAGUAUAUCAUCGAUUUCCUUGAUGGCCUUAAUCUGUGCAGGAUUUACCUCAAUACCACAGUUAGAAACAUGAAAACCAAAAAACUUACCUGAUGCAACACCAAAUGCUCAUUUCUCGGGGUUUAAUUUCAUAAUAUAUUUGUGCAAAAUUGAAAAUGUAUCAAAUAAAUGAGAUAUGUGAUCCUUCGAAUAAUGAGUUUUAACUAGCAUAUCAUCUAUAUAUACUUCCAUAGUUUUCCCUAAAUGUUCUUGAAAUAUUUUUGUAACUAACCUUUGAUACGUUGUGCCUGAAUUCUUUAGACCAAAGGGCAUUACCUUAUAAUAAGCCCCCCUGUCUGUUAUGAAUGAAGUUUUUUCCUCAUCUCCUGGACCCAUUUAAUCUGAUUAUAACCUCAAUAUGCAUCUAAAAAUCUUAAUAGCUCAUGACCUGCUAUCACAUUAAUCAAUUGAUCUAUGUGUGGUAGUGAAAAAGAGUCUUUAGAGCAAGCUUUAUUAAGAUAAAUAUAAUCAACACAAACUCACCACUCACCGUUCUUCUUUGGAACCAGAACAGUAUUAGCUAACUAGUUAGGAUACUUUACCUUACGAAUAGAACCAAUUUUUAGACAUCAUCUUGAAUCAGCUGAUUCUUGAAAGUUCCUUGCUUUCUUUUCUUUUGUUUGACUGGAGGGUAUGAAGGAUCUUCAUUAAAUUUAUAAGUCAUUACCUCCAGUGGAAUCCUUGUCAUGUCAGAGUGGGACCAAGAAAAGCAGUCUAGUUAGUUUUCAAAAAUUCAACUAACUUACCCCUCAUUCCUUGGCUAAGAUUAGCUCCAACGUAAACUUUCCUAUCAGGCCAUCUAAAAAAUAACACGAUAGGCUCCAAUUCUUCAAUUGUUGUUUUGAUAUUUUCAUUUUCCUAUGGUUCUUGAAUAGUAUCGGGUCUUGAAUCUACAUCUGUUCACCCUUGCUCAGUAGAGGUUUGCAUUGAGGUGACCUCAACUGCCUUAUGUGGUUGCUAUUUACCUUCAUUUCUCGUGCUUAUAUCUGCAAUGGAAUUGAUCGCCCUCGACGCAUGUUGAUCUCCACGAAUAUGACAGACUCCCCAUGGUGAUGGAAAUUUAAUAACUUGAUGCAAAGUUGAAGGUACUACAUCCAUUUCGUGGAUCCAUAGCCUCCAAAGAAUUAUGUUGUAAUCCAUCUCCAAAUCUACUACCUAGAACCUUGUUUCUUUGAUGACACCUUUGGCGAAUGUGGUGAGUGUUACCACCCCUUUCGUGACUACACUGGAAUUAUCAAAUCCAGAUAGAGUGUGGGCUUUUGGUAUUAUUUUUUCGUCGGCUUGCAUUUCACACAAUACUCUUAGAAAAAUAAUGUUUACCGACCUACCUGGAGCAAUUAAAACUCGUUUUACAUUAGUAUCAUAUACAAUUAAAGAUAUUACCAGUGCGUCGUUGUGGAGUACUAACACUCUAUCUGAAUCUGCAUCGUUGAAUAUAAUGUUGUCUUCUUCCAAGGUGUUCCACACUCGUUUCCCUUGAGUGAUUGUUAUGUUGAAAUCUUGUUAGUGGCCGUGUAUGAUAUACCAUUAAUAUCUUCACCUCCACUCAUAACAUUGACAAUCCUUUUCGGGGAUGGUGGUUUUGGAGGCUCCUACCUAUUUUUCAUGUAUGCUUCUUGACUUCCUCACUGAACAGCUCUGUGAGAUACCCUUGCUUUAACAGAUGAUCAACUUCACUUUGUAGAAAUCUACAGUCGGCUGUUAUAUGUCUGUGGUCAUUAUGAAACUCGCACCAAUGGUCGGGAUUGCGCCUGUUUGGAUUUGAUCUCAUUUCCUUUGGCCAUUGAACCUUAUCUCCAUGCUUUUCAAAAUAGCCACGAGCUCAGAGGUGCUGGCGUUGAAGUUAUAAUCACCGAAUCUUGCUUUUAAGUUUUAAUUAUCAUCUCUUGGCUCAUGAGUAUUUCAAUUGUUCCUAAAUCUCGAGUCUGACUCUAUAUUCAUUGAUCUUUGAUCGUACCUCUGAUUAUCUUGCUUUAAUCGUGAGUCUCUUCCCGUAGGUCCCAUGUAAGGCUCGUAUCUAUUUUUAUCUGACCUUUUUUCAGUCUUCAUACGUCUUGAACUUACCUUUUCUUCUUUUUGAAAUAGUGGAACAAUAUCUUCCUCAAUCCUUAGCUUCGUGCUAUAUCUGUUAUAAAUGUCUUUCCAAGUUGUAGCUGGGAAUUCUCGAAGGUUUUCUUUGAGUCUCCUCGUGGCGUCUGAAAUUUUUUCAUUCAAGUUUCUUGCAAAAGUUAUAACCGCCCAGUUGUCAGGUACACGUGGCAAUGUCAUUCUUUCACGCUGAAAUCUAUCCAAAAAUUCUCUAAGUAACUCCGAGUCUCCUUGCUUAAUUUUAAAAAUAUCUUCCAUUCUUUUUUCCACCUUUUGAGCUCCCCGUUGUGCUUUGAUGAAAGAGUCUGCAAGCUCAGCAAAAGAAUUUAUAGAAUUUUCAGGUAGAAGAGAGUACCAUGUGAGCGCUUCUUUAGUGAGUGUUUCGUCAAAUUUUUAUACAGCUUCAAUCUCCUUCUUAGUCAAAUCGUUGCCAUUUACUCCCAUCGUAAAUGCAUUCACUUGGUCUCGUAGGCCUGAUGUUCCAUCAUAUUUUAGAAUGUCAGGCAUUUUGAACUUUUUUGAAAUUAGGGGAGGAGCAGCACUUGACUUCCAAGUUUGUUGUGAAUAUUGAUCGAUAUCUACUCCUUUGAUCACGCGUGGCACCCCAGGUAUUUUCUCUAUGCGCUCACUUUGCUCCUUGAGCUGUUUCUACAAAGUUAGUACUAAGUUUUUAAAAUCAAAAUUAAUCACAUUACCUGGUUCCCUCUCUUGUGAUUCACUGGGAAUCCCUCCGUUGCCUCAGUUGACAAGUCCAGAACGAGGGUUUUUCAAAGUGUUAUUAUUGGGUGUUGGUGCAGGGAUUUCAAAAGGUAAUCAUUUAACAAGCAUUUCCACAGCCUUGUUGACCUGAGCAACAAUUAAUUUCUGCAAAGCAUCAACAAUGAUAUCAACAUUCACAAAUUGAGAAUGUUCAUUCAUUUGAGACCCAUCAGGGAUCCCCUCACGAGAUUGACGGGAAGAGCCUUGUGGAGUAGGAACCAGAGCGUUAAUAUCUGAGUUGACAAGUCCAGAACAAGGGUUUUCUAAAGUGUUAUUAUUGGGUGUUGGUGUAGGGAUUGCAACAAGUAACCGGUUAACAAGCACUUCCACGGCUUUGUUGACCUGAGCAACAAUUAAUUUCUGCAAAGCAUCAUCAAUGGUUUCAAUAUUCACAAAUUGAGCAUGUUCAUUCAUUUGAGACCCAUCAGGGGUUCCCUCACGAGAUUGAUGGGGAGAGCCUUGUGGAGUAGGAAUCAGAGUGUUAAUAUCUUGUGGAUCUCCCUGAUUUUGUUGGUUUUCUUGAUUUCCUCGAAUGUUAACAUUGUUGUUUGACAUGAUUGAUCAACAAGAAAAGUUAAUCGAGAAAAAAUAGAUUAUCAGAUUCCAGAUAACGAAACCAAUUUAUUUUACCAAAAAAUAGAAUUUUAGUCAAAGUUAGAAUUUAGAAGAACAUGGGUUAUUGAUAACUAAAAGAAUGUAUAAAAGGAAUUAAUUUAUGUAGCAGAAGAAUAUUUUAAGAGAAAAGUAGGUAAAUCAAGAUAUAUUCUAAUGAUUCUGUGUCCUCAACUAAUUAGAUGUUUCCCUAGGUGUCAUAGAGAUAUACGUUUUGCCCAAAUCAUAAUGAGGCUAUUAUGAGUAAUUAAAGACAUUGAAUGCUAUGUUACAUAAUUAUUACAUUUAAUACGAAUUCCCAAACGUAUUUCGUAUUUAAUAUAUGUUACAUGCUCUUGGAUAUAAAUGACUUCAACAGGUACUGGCACUGAGUUAUUUGAAUAUCUACUCGUACCUCCUCUUUUAUCAUUACCUCGUGUCUGUUGUAACUCGUCCUUGUUGUAGCUCGUGCUUCUUAAAUAGUUGUCAUUCUUUGACCACAUAUUCAGUUUACGUGUCAUGACACGUUUCCUUAAGUACAAUUUUUUCCAAUACAGAUCUUAGAUAAAAAUUUAUCAAUUUUAUUUUGAAACAUAUUUUUCUGCUGAAGCAACAGUAAUAGGAGUUAUUAACAAUAUCCUAUAAAUAAUAUAUUCAUUUGAAACUAAUCAAAUCUUUAUUUGAUUGAAUAUGUCAAUUAAAUUGUUAUCUUCUAAUUGUACGAUAUUUAUUAAUAGUUUUAAUUCAAAAAUAAAUUUAUACUAUCAAUAUCAUGUUGAUUAAUAUUAUUUAAGGAGCAUUCAAGAUGAAGGCAAUAUUUUUUCCAAAUUUUAAACAUCUAGUAAUCUCAGUUUUUACUGCUAAAUAGAAACCAAAAAUAUUUUCAUAUCCUCUAAUUGUUCAAAUCUAUUUUAAAGUAAAAUAAUAACCUUGUCGACUACUCUCCCCGAACCAUAAUAAGUGACUUUUUGGGAUUUUAUUUUGGUCUAAAAUAAGUCUUUCAUAAUCGAGAAGGAAUUAACUUUUUUUUAAAAUAUUUCCUUAUUUACAUAUCUCUAUGUGUCAAGUUAACAACAUAUAAAUUUGAAUUAAGGAUAAUUUAAUCAAAAAAAAUUUUUGUUCUAGGAGUCAAUAUUUUCUUAAGGGAUACAUCGAAGGUUAAAAAGUCAUUUAUUAUGGACUAGAGGGAGUAUGUAUAAAAAGUAAUCAACUCUAACGACACUUCGAGAGAUUUUUAUAAUUCACUAUUAACAUUCUCCUCAAAUUAUUUCUUCCUAUAUAUUAUAUGUUUCUUAUGAAAAUCAGGUUCAAUAUUAAUUUCAAUGUAAUUUCCUUCAUAGAAAUUAUAGUAGUUGUAAAUUAUUCGUCUCUAUAUUUGCUAAAUAAAAAAAUCAAAAUUUUUCACUUCAUAAAUUUUUUUUAUUUUUUUAUAUAUAGCUUAUUAGGUGUAAAAAAAUAAGGCUUCUAUAAAUGUAAGGCAUAAAGCAGUUGUUUUACCUGUUUUAUGGAUGGGUCGCCCCCGAGAAAGAACCCAAAUAGCUCCAAAUUAAAGCUUAAAAGUGGUGUACGUUGAGGUGUGGAAACAAUCUUCACGUGUUACAAGCUGAAAGUGACGUUAACACAUGCAAAAUCCAUAGUAUCAUACUAAAAUUCUUGCCUUGAAACAAUUUAAUUUGGAAUACAAAUCUUGCAUUAUGACAGACUGGUCGCGAAUAUAUAUUGGGUUGAAAGUUCCACCAACACGUUCAUAUAUAGAUUCCGUUUACUCCUCACACCAGAAGUUCAUAAAUGGAUUCAAUGACCACCAGUUAGUUUGAACCUUUUAUCGCACAUGCAUCUUUCUCUAUAAUAUUUGAUUCUUUUUUGAUUUAUUAUUACUCCUGUUUCCUUUUUCAAAAUUCAAAAUUUAAAAGUAUAAGAUGCUUUUAUUUGUGAGGGGUAACCGAUCAAAAAUAAGGGUUGAGAUAGAUACGACUUGAGAUGAAGUUGAAGUCCCAUUUACUUUAGGUAUCUUAGAUUUUGGAUCCUUAUGUUAAUUUGAGUGUCCAUAUGGAUUACUAAAGAACUUGAUUCUUUAUCGUGUUCCUUGAGCGUAAAGUAAAUAAGCAAUAAAUUGAACACAAUGAUUUUUAUGUGAAAAAUUACCUGGCUCAAAAGGUGCAAAAAUCACAGUCUACUACGUAGGAUUCAACUCCAACUCCACUAGAAGAAUAAGCCAAAAUGUAUCAAUUACAAGAUUGUAAUUCAAUAUUCUCCAAUAUUCCUACUACUCUCAUUUGAUUCUCAAGUUACUCUAACUUAUAAAGAAAACACUCGAUCCAAUUUAAUAAUUGUUAAUGACACUUGAUUACAACUCAAUUUCCUAAAACACAUUCACUAGACUGACCAAGUAAAUGAUUUAUGACUAUUUUAAAUUAUACGUAAAAGGAUAGUUCAGAAGUCCAAAGUUGAUUGUAUUUAAACGUUUCAAUUAGAGAUAUUCUAGGAGUCCUAUUCAUAGUUAACUUCCUCUUUGUUGGGACUCCAACCGUUUCAAGGAUUCCACAAGCUUUGGGACUUUUGUCUCUGACUAAAUUAUCCGUAUCUUCUUGAGCAACGACCCUUAUCACCUAUAGCACCCGUCACCUAUCAAACUAGGACCUCGAUAACUUUAUGAUAAAGUUAUUGUCUUGUGUGUACAUACAAGUAUCAACAUGAAGAAGUGGUCCUUUUUUAUCUUGAGGAGUUGGUUCUUCAAGAUGUUAAGCAGCUACAUUGAGGAGCUAGUUCUUUGAAUAUUUAGUGAUACUUUGUUAAUCAUCAAAACUUUAAGAUUUAACAAAUUCCUCAUUUUUUAUGGUAACAAACUUUGUACACAGGAGAACCAAGUUAUCACAUCAAAGAACUAGAUAAACAAGUGACAAGUAUUAUUAACAGGCGUUUAUGUUCACAUAACCUUCCACCCUUAUCUUCUCCUUUUUGGCAUCAUAAAAAAACUAAAUAAAAAAUGUUAGGCAUUAAGCACAGAUACUGUGAGAUUCAAGGCCAAGAAGCCUACAGUACAAGCUUAAACGGACUAGGUUGAUGAUCCAAUAUAGUACAAAGCAUUAAAGCAGAGCAAGAGGAGAUAUUUAAGUCGUGCCAAAAGAAACCCAGAGCCUUUUCUUCAUUAUUAGAACAAAAUAGAUUAAGCAUACUAUAAACUACUUAGACUAAGACAAAAGAAGGAAAAAAAAGAUAAGGCAUCACUGAAAUAGCAAAAGAAGAACACUAGGAAGGAACAUGUUCGUGGGCGAGAAGUAGAGGAGUUCAAAGCUUUAACAGUGGUGGAAAUUUGUUGGCCAUGAGCCUCUCUAUCUCUUGUGAGCUCUUCCCUGAGUGGCAUUGUUUCUUUUUUCAACUCAUCAUUGUCUUCACGAAGCUUAGCAGUCUCUUCAACAGCCAACUCCAACCUCUAACUUAGCUCUACAGCCUUGCUGCUCCCAGGUAGAAUAGCGGAUCAUGUGGGUCCUGUAGCCUUGAUCUCCUUAUACCCACACUAUUUUAGGGUAACAACAUCCAAAAUAUCAUUAUGGUUUCCAAACUUAAGCUCAGGUAAGGCAAUGUUGAACUUGUCAAACACUGUGUCAACAUGAAACCAUAAGGCAUAACAUGCUUAGGUUUGGAGUUGUCUACAGCACUUUCCAUGUUCUGAAUUAUCAGGCUAGGAAGAUUGAUAAGUCUACUAGUGUCAAGCAGUUCCAUCACCGCCAUGUCCAUCAGAGUAGCUUCAUGCCUUCUCUAAGACCUCUAAAGAAUGCAUGAGUUUACAAAAUGAAACAACAACUUGUGGAAGUCAGUCAUAUCGGUCUUGUACACCUUCUAGAAGUAUACAGUUCAAACAUUAAUGUAGUGUCAAUAUCAUUUUCUAUGGCUAGCCACUUUUUCUUCAAAUAAUUGUCAAAUCCCAAAGAAGAGAUAUUCAGGAGCAUCCCCAACUCCUCAGCAUCAAACUCCAUGUCAAAUCCAUCUACCUUAGUCUUGACUAACUUCCAAUCAUAGUUGAAAUUAGCAUAGAACUCUACCACAGCAGGAGCACAUAUGGGGGAGGGGGGGUUGGGUGAGGCUUUGACAAACAUGUGCUUCCACCCAUGUAUCUCAAGCUUUUCAUCCAGUUGAAUCAUCCCCUUCUCAUCAGUGUUUGCAAGAAUCUUCCCAUUUAGCAAUUUUCUUUUUUUUUAAACUCAGAGUCAAUAAACUGCAGCUGGCCCAUUCUUCCUUGUUUUACCCCUACUGGCCAUUGCAAAAGGACUACUAGUUUUUGUAACAUUAGAAACCUUUAUCUUUUGUGUAGAGGACUUAGAUGUCAAGGCAAAAUCAGAUUUGUCUUCUCCAUCCAGCUCAACAACAGGUUCCACAAUUGAGACCUUAUUCCUUGGCUUCUUUGCACUUCUAGACUCCUUAGUGACUUACGCAUCAACAACCAUUCUUAUUCCUUGUAAGAGGAGUCUUGGAAGGAGGAUCCACUCUUUUCCAUGUUGGGACUAGUGAUUGUAUUGCUUUCACAUGAGUUUUCCUAGGUUUCUUCUAUACCUCGGAUAGUGGAACAUUAUCUUCAUCACUGCUAACUUCUUCAUCUCCAAUGAAAGAAGUUAACAGAGACCUGGGUUCUUGAGUCCUUGUCGCUUCACCAGCUUUUCUUAAGGGGCUAUGACAGUGUUCCCAAUGGUCAUGGAACCUUCAGAUUUCUUACUCACAUUCUCAACUUCUUCCUCACUAUCUCCAUCACCUCCUUCACUCUCACUUACCUUUUCUUGAUCCUCUCCCUCACUUUCAGAGUCAUCUUCUUCUUCCUUAUGAUUUUUUCUUCUACAGAAUCAUUAACCUCGUCACCUAUCUUAUCAUUUGUAUCACUCUCCUUCUCAUCUCCGGACGCUCCUUCAUUCUCACUCUUUUCUUCUUCAUUGCCUAUAUUUUGACAAUCAUGCUCCGUACGACUAUUCAUAGCUUCCUUUUCUUUUUCACUCUCAUCAUCACCCUCAUCCUUAUUCCAACUAAAAUAAAGGCCAUCAGAAGCCGCAUUUUGCACAGGUUCUUUACUUCCUUCCCCCUCAACAAUAGGCCCCACAACAGUAGUAUCCACCUCAUUCAUCAGAUCACCUACACCAUUUUCUACAAUGAAUUUCUUUACUUGUGGUUUCUCAACCCUGGGUGGGAGAGUAUCUAGGGGUACAACAUCUAUAUCAAACACCAAAACAUCUAAUUUAGAAGGAGGAUGUUGUACCUCAUCUGUAAUGACUGGCACUUAUUCCCAUUGAACCACAGAUUCCUUGGCUACUGUGUCUACCUUCAUAGCUGUAUCAAGCACUUUCUUGACAGAUAUUCUUGGAGCGUCCUUGACCUUUGUUGACUUAGAGGCAUUUUUUGCAGUAAGCUUAGGUGCAUGGGUGGUUGGUUUAGGAAAAUGGGGUAUGGUGGAGGUGGGGAUGGUAGAAGCAGCAGGAAAAUGGGAUGAUGAUGCAAGUAUGUUGGAGGAUAUCGAAGGAGAAAUAGCUGGUGUGGGUGCGGGUUCCCUAACUGGCUUGUCACUUUUCAUUGAUUUAGGCUUCCUCAUUUUGUGUUUUGCUUCAGCCUUUGGUGAUUAUUUGGCUUUAGAGGGCAUUUGACUGGUUUUAGUUCUUGAUAAUUGCUCUUUAUUUUUGCCUCAGAUUUGAGAGAAACAGUAAGGUCUGAGAAGCUGAUCAUGAGAGACUUUUAAAGAUGUUACUCCUGAUUUGUCUAGAAAAGAGAAGGUGAUCGAAUUUGAGUUCUAACGGGACCCUUAUGAUAGUUACUUUGACUUCUAGGAUUUUGGGAGUAAGUAAGCUCUGAUUGUUGUAAGAUUCCCCCUUACUGUUUGACUAGAGGAAGACUAGAAAUGAUGCCAAUGGAAUUAGAAUUCUGAGCAUAGUAAUAAUUUUAGGAUAUUAAGUCCUAGUAAUUUUAGAUGGUAUGUCAUGUACCUAAGUCAAAAAGCUGACUCUUUUGCAACUCCAUAGUUGUUUUUGAAAUAAGGCUUUAGCACUUCAUGUUAGUAUCAUACUACACAGUUAUCAGCUAGAUUUUCAAGCAACUGUGUGAGCUUAAUACAAUCACGAAGCUGAAUCAAACACAUUGUACUUAAUUAUCUACAUCUAAUUAUGCCUUUUUCUAGCCAAUCACUGGGAUUCAAGUUAGUAGGAGGAGUUUAUUAGAACUAAUUAUAAUCUAUUCCUUUCAAAGUAAUCCCCACUCAGAGAUUUAGUAAAAAUAUUAGCAAUUUGAUCUUUAGUUUUACAAAAGUUAAUUAAGAUAUUCCUCUUUUCAAUAUUGUCUCUGAGAAAGUGAUGUCUAACGUCAAUGUGAUUGGUUCUUUUGUGCUGACAUAGAUUUUUAGAAAUGUUUAUGGACUGCUGUUAUUAUAAAAAAUGGUAACACAAUCAACAAUUAUGCCAUAGUCCCUUAGUUAUUUCCUUAUCCAUAGCAACUGAGCGUAGCAGGAUGCAGCUGCCACAUAUUCAACCUCAACUAUAGAUAAGGCCACAAAGUUUUUCUUCUUGGUUCCCCAUGACACCGGACAAGAACCUAAAAGGCGAGCUAUAGAUGGAGUUAUUUUCCUAUUAAUGUGAAAACCUGUAUAGUCAGCACCCAUAUAACCAAUUAGAUCAAAACUAUACCCUCUAGGAUACCAUAGAUAGAGGUUAGAGGUUAUUUUGAGAUAUCUUAGUAUCCUUUUGACACCCUUCAGGUGUGAUUCUUUGGGAUUUGCGUGGCAAUCUUGCACAUAACCCCACACUAAAAACUAUAUCAGGCAUGCUUGAUGUGAGGUAUAACAGUGACCCAAUCAUUCCUCUAUAUAGUUUUUGUUCCACAAGUUUUCCCUUCUUCAUCAAGGUCCAACUUUGUUGCAGUUGCAAUGGGAGUGUCAAUGGACUUAGAUGAGUCCAUGUUGAACUUCUUCAGUAGUUCUUUGAUAUACUUCUGCUGAUGUAUCAUGGUUCCAGUAGGUGUUUGCUUGAUUUUCGGUCCCACAAAUAAGUUAAGUUUACCCAUCAUGCUCAUUUCAAACUCAUCUCCCAUCAUCUCAGCAAAUUCCUUGAACAUUGCUUCAUUGGUAGACCCAAAGAUAAUGCCAUACAAUCUAUUUGCAAAAUUAGAAUAUUCACUUUCCGCUGCUCCUUAGAAAUAGAGUGUUGUCUACCUUUCCUCUUAUAAAGUUAUUUGCUAAGAGGAACUUUUAGAGUCUUUCAUACCAAGAUCUUGGAGCAUGUUUUAGUCCAUAAAGAGCUUAAUCCAGUUUGAAGACAUAGUCAGGGAAUUCACCACUUUCAAAUACAAGAGGUUGUUUGACAAACACUUCCUCUUUCAGAUAUUCAUUCAAAAGGCACUCUUUAUAUCCAUGUGAUAUAAGGAUAACUCCAUGUGGGUAGCAAAGGUUAUCAGCAUUCUUAUAGCAUCCAUUCUAGCUACAGGUGCAAAUGUCCUAUCAUAGUCAAUACCCACUUCUUGAUUGUAUCCUUAAAACCACCAGUCUGGCCUUGUUCUUUGUGAUAUUUUCUUGUUCAUACAUCUUGUUUCUGAACACCCAUCUUGUAUCUAUGACAAUUCUAUUCUUGGGUUUCUAUACUAAGUGUCAGACCUUCCUUCUUUCAAACUGAUUAGCUCCUCUUGCAUGGCUAUGAUCCAGUCUGGAUUGCUUAGAGAUUCUUUGAUGGUCUUAGGUUCAACAUGUGAGAGAAUACUGUGAGUGUACACAGAUUUCUUAGAGAAGACCUUGUUUGCACCCCUGCAUGUGGAUCAUAGAUGAUAUUUUCAAGAGGAUGUGAACUCUGAUGCUUUCAUUGUCUGAUCUGUAUUGCCAAAGAAGAUUCACCCAAGGAGUAACCCAAAGGAAGAGGUUCAGUGGGUGUGGCAUCAUUAGUCUGGUCAACAGUUAGAGUAAUUCUUUCAUCUUCGUAUUCCUACAUCAUUAUUUUCAUACUGUAGACUUUUCUCAGCCACAUUGUUAAAUUCAUCAAAGUUAACAUGAAUAUUCUCGUCUACACACAUAGUGUUUUUACUAAAAACGUUAUAGGACUUACAUUAACCCAAGAAAAUUCUCUCAUCACUUCCGUCAUCAAACUUACCUGGAGUUUUGUUCCUAUUAUUAUGAAUAAAAUAUUUGCACCCAACGGCUCUCAGGAGAGUGAUGUUGGUUUUUCUUCCUCGAAGUAACUCAUAGGGAAUUUUAUCAAGAAUAGAUCUGAUCAUGCAUCUAUUUAAUAGGUAGUAAGAAUAUUGAUUAUCUCAGCCCAAAAACUCUUAGAUAGUCCACUAGCAAUCAACAUGUUCCUCCCCAUGUCUUCUAAGGAUCUAUACUUCCUUUCGACAACCCCAUUUUGUUGUGGAGUUCUAGGUACAUGGGAAUUAUGGCCAAUACCAUGUGAGCCACAGAACUCAAGGAAUUUUGAAUUUUCAAGUUCAGUUCCAUAGUUAGUUUUUAUGAUUAAUACGUUGCACCCUAGCUUUUGUUGAAUCAUUUUAACAAAUACACUGAAAACAUCGAAGAUUUCAUAUUUGGAUCCCAAAAACAAUGUCCAAGUAUACCUGGAGAAGUCAUCACCAAUCAAAAACACAUACCUCUUACCCCCUCUUCUCCUUAUUCUCAUUGGCCCAUAUAUUUCCAUGUGAAGAGUUCCAGAGGUUUAGAAGUACUUACAAUUUUUUUAGAUUUAAAGGAUGACCUUACAUGUCUCCCUCUAAUAUAGGCGUCACAUGCUUUAUCAUAGGUGAACUCAACUUUAGGUAUCCCAAGGACCAAGUCCUUUGCUGCCAACCUGUUGAGUUGAGAGAGACUAGCAUGUCUUAGUCUUCUAUGCCAUAGUAGUAGAUCAUCUUCCACUACACUCAAGCAUGUGUGCUUACACUAGGGAAGUUACAUUAUCGAUAUUUUUUAGACAUUGUUAUGUCUCUUACCUUUUAACACAGUUUUAUCAGUUUUGUUAUGUCUUUUAACUUUUAACACAAUUUUAUCAUUAUCAAGCUUAGUGACAGUGCAAAUUUUUUAAUUGAAUUUUACCUCAUUUCAUUUGUCGUACAUUGCUAAAAAGAUUGUGUUUAAGACCUACCACAUAAUACAGAUCUUUUAUAGAAUGAGAGAGUGACUUACCAACCUUGCCAUGACCUGUUAUCUGGUCUUUUCUCCCAUUUUCAAAUGACACAUUCCCUCCUUAGAAGACUUUCAGUGAGAGGAAGUUUUUUUUUCUCCCCCAUAUGCCUUGAGCAUUCAUUGUCUAGAUACCCGUCCUGAUUGUUUCUUCACCUUAGCCUGCAAAAAAAUUCACAAUUUAAUUUUUGAAACCCAGAGAAGCAUGGGUCCCUUUUUUCUUGAAAAAAGAUGAAUCACAUCCCUACUUUCACAGAUGGGGAGAGGAUUAGAAUCUAUUUUCUUGUUGACCUUAAUCUACUUAGUAUGGACAUGAGGAUUAACCUUUAGCUCCUUUUCCUUCUUCACAUUUUUAGCAAUACCAAAGGUGCUUCUAAGUUGAGUAUAAACUAAGACAAGACAAGUAUCUCUAAAGUGGCCUACUUUCCAAAAUAAAUGCACGUGUUAUUAUCAGAAAUUCCUACAUACUUUGGGUCAAACUUAGGGGAAAGUUUUCUGUAGGCAAUUUUAGAUUUAUUUGAGCUAUAAUUUUCAUUCAGCCUGCAUCAGAAGAUCUAUGCCAUUUGCUUAGUCUAGAGAGUUCAUAAUUAGCCUUUUCUAUAUCUUCCUGCAGUACUCUAUUUGUACUUCUGUUAUUACUCUAAUAAUUGCAAGCUCAAAAAAAACUUGAAGUGAAUGAUUUUUUUUUAUGUUUUUCCAAAUAGUUUAAAAGCCUAGGGAUGUGACUAUAACCUAGAUGCUCGCCUAAUGGGAUAAAAAAAGUAAUACUUAUUUUAUUGAUUGGGGUGUAUUCUAACUCUCACUCUACAUUACCCACUCAAUACCUCUCAGUUAGAGCGUGAUUUUCCUAAAUACACUCAAUCACAAUUAAUUAUUUAACUAAAUACACAUAAGGUUUAACACUUAGGGUGGGUCAGAACCCUAGAAAUAAUCUAGCUACUCAUAUAGAAAUUGAAGAAAACAAAGAAGAAAAGCUAAUUAAACUUAUAAUCAAAGAUAAAAUGGUAAAAGAUGAUGUUGAAACACUAAAAUGGUUAAAUAUUUUCUAAAGUAGUAAAGGGUAACAGCUACAUCAGCUUUUUCUUCCAAAGAUGACCUAAAUUUGUGAAACUUGUCCAUUUAUAGUGGGCCAAAAUUCACUAAUAAAAAUGGCCAUCGGGAGGUUCUGCGACCGCAGUGUUUCAUGUGUAGUCCGUAGAUGUGUUUAGUUGGUAAGAGAUAGGAUUCUAUAGCCGCACAAUUCUAGAUUGUGGCUGUAAAGCAACUUCUGCGGCCGCACUAUUCUUGUGCGGUCCACACUUCAGUAAGGCGUCACGACUUGGUCUUCUGCACACUCUCUGGACUUGGAAUUGUUUUCAGUGUAGACCUUGCUAUGAAGCCUCACAAGUCAUGUGUGGUCCACAUAUUUAUUAAUAUACUAUUGGGUUCUUUAGCUUGAGUUGCGGACGCAGAUGGAAUUCAGCCGUCCACAAUUUCUUCUACGGUUGAAGAAUUCCUUCUAUGGGCCGCACUUAUUUGCUUUUGUGACCUUUAUUGUCUUAUAAUUCAAAACAGGUCCUUUGUAGUCUUAUUUCAUCAAGAGAGACCAAAUUUCCAACAUUCCUGCAAUUUGCACAAUUGUGUUACUUUCGGGGACAUAAAUUCAUUCUUUCGAACUAAGAUAAAAGCAAAAAGAUACUAAUAAGUAAUCAAAUUUCCCACUUAUCAACUCCCCCAAACUUAAGUCUUUUCUUGUCCUCGAGCAAAUAAAUUAGUUCUCACCACCUUGAGUUAAGGGUCAUUUCAGCAAGUCAAGGUGAGCAAUUCACACAUCAGUUGGAACCAACAAUUACCCACACUACUCAUGCAUUAUCAACAAGGUGACAAGUUAAAUAUUCAUGCACAUAUAGUUCAAAUAUGAUAUUUGAGCUUCAAGAAUUGACUUUACUCAAGGACUCUUGUUCUAUCAUGUAGCCAUAGUGGACUUCAAACUCUCCCUCCUCUACUUUCCAUUUACCAAGCUCACUUAAGAAAUUAGCACUCAAUCUGAAGAUCAUGAAAGGUUCACUCAUCUCUCACAAGAGAAUGUCACAAGUAUGGCUUCAAGUACCAUAGGCUUGCCCCUCAUGUAGAUCACCACUAAUUUAAGCUCACUCGGUUUGAAAUCAAGAAGGACUUUUUUCAGGAUAUAAUGAAGGCUUUUGGAUUAGGAUAGGAUACAGUAUGGGUAAGUGGUUACACCUUUCCUUAAGCACUCCAUCUUUUAUUUCUCGGCUCACAAUUGCCAAUUCUUAGAGGCACUUUCUUUUCAUUAGGAACUAGGGAGACUUAACAUCACUCUUUCUUGAUCAUUUCAUUAUUUUUUUUCAUUUUUUAUUUCUCAAUGUUUGGGAUCAUUACCUCUUUUUAAAUCCAUCAACCCUUCUACUUAUCACUUUUUGCAUUUUUUGAGUUUUAUUCUUUUCUUUUAUUGCCUUCUCUUUUCAUUUAGCUCAUUUAUAUUCUGUUUUUGUGCCUUGAUACCAUUUUCAAAUUCCUCAUAUCUCCCUCAAACUUAUGUUUUAAGCCAUUGUUUUUCAAAAGAGUGUUAAGGAAUGUCUGGGCUCCAAAAGAGGGUCACGACAAAAUGGGUUAAGGUUGUAACAUGGUUAUAAAAUGAGAAAGGCUAGAGACCCAAAAGGUUUGACUAGGGAUAAUGACAUUGCUUAGAAAUAGAAAACUCAAACGAGCCAAGGAGAGCCUACAGUCAUUUCUCAAAACAAGCAAUACUUAGGAUUUCACCUUGGAAAACAU